UUUUAACCACCACUUCCCCUGGGCAGUUUGAACCACAGGACCCUAAAUUCCAGAGAAGGAUUCUACAUCAAGUUGUGUGAAUUGCAAACAAGUCCAUCACAACAAAUAUUAUUUUCUCAUCAAUCUCUUAGUAAACAAAAAGUAGGACCCAACCAAUAUGCAGCCUUUUAUGUCAAAACUGCUCUCAUUCCAAAACGCUCUCACUCUAGACAACAUCUACCUGGGGCUUUGGUUUAAAUAUAGAAUUCUGUCUCUUUCUGGGCAGCUUCCUUUCCUAAGUGCAUCUCCGCAAAAUUUCAUUUGAUCCUGAAUAAAUUGCCAGUUGAUAAGAUACGCCACUCUUUGCUACAAAUAAAUCAGAGUCCUGGAGCUGAGGAGUAGAAAACCACCUUGCCUUGAACCCCCACUCUCUGUACUCAUCCUCUCAGGCCUUAACUUGAACUUCAGCCUCCUCUUGCUUCCUUCUUAUCCACUUGGAUAUGCAGAUCAACCCCACAUCUUCACUUCCAGAGGAACUAGUACUACAAACAUGUGUCCUUGGGCCCUGUUCUCUGAGUUUGCGUGUGAGGUGCAAAGUAGAACUUUCAGUGUUUUUUAGUAUAGGCCAAAAUGUUAUUUAUCUCACUAAUGAGGAAAUGAAUAAGGAAGACCCCAAAAAAGGUUGGUUUAAAAAACCCUGAGAAAUAAGGCUUUAUAUAACCAAUUGGGAGAUGGAUAUCAAGAUAAGACUGUCAAGGACUUCUGCUUCUUGGGAGAGUGUAUUAGAUAAAAGAUACACUAGAAUUUGCCAUAAUCACUGGACAAAUAUGUAUAAAUUUAAGAUGCCAUAUUCUUAAAAAUCACCAGAGACCUGUGAAAACAAGGAGCAGAAAAAAAAUGUUUUCACAGAAGAGAGAACCAUUUGAAUGUGAACUUAUGAUUGCCAACAGUUUUCAUUUGUUUUUUCUCUAAAGACAUUUACAAUCCUGGCUGCAAGUUGAAAAUGGAGCUGGACUGAGACAGAGGACACCUCUGGGAAGAGGGAAACCAGCGAUCAUUUUAGUGGUUGCGUGGGAUAACUCUGACAGAUGAGAAACUUAAGAGAGCUCAAACACAUGACAGCCUGCAAAAGAAAACAUUUGCUGAGGCCGGGGAGGGCACAUAGCUGGGGAAGGAGGCUGAACGCUUUCAAACAUAGAAAGAAAUCUCCUGAAGCUUAAAGUAAUAAGGCAGUCCCUCCCAGAAGCACAGGGCCUGCCUCAUGCAUGCAACCUGUUUUCCUCUCAAGACAGUUGCCAAAUCUUUGAUCUCAUUGGGACUGAACACUGGAGACCAGGACUGUGAGUCUCUGGGGAACAUAGCCAGAUCUCAUAGUUCUUCAGGACAAGGAAAGCAGAGGUUCUCAAGGCUUCUCCGAAAAGCCCAGAAAAGCCUCAACCAUGACACAGGGGCUGUAGCCAAAGCAGAAGAGACCGAAGGCUUCCCAUGACCUGAAUAGAAGUCCAGCUGAAAAGGGAAGCAAAGGAUGAGACUGGAACCAAAUGCCUGGAAGGAAGACACUGAGGAUAUGACACUGGUGAUGGUAUACCCCACCCAAGGCACCCCCAGAGCUGCCGCCACCCUGGCUAUGGACAGCUUCCAGGAAGGCGCUGGUUGACUGCCAAGUGUUUGUUGGGCUGGGGGCUGGGAGCAGAGUGGAGCAGCAAGUACUUGAACUCACACAACUGACCUUGAAGAGGCAAGUAGAACCAGAACCUCAUGAUAAGAGGAAGACAGAUGACAUAUGGGAAUAUGCUGUCGGUGGGUUCCUUGAAAAUGUUGCUAAGAAGGAAAAGAAUCCAAGUUAAACUGUUUACCAGGGAGUAGUCCUUGUUUAAUGUAUGUAUUAAAUCCUUCUUUUUGCAAGUAGCUCUGACUCUGCUCUGAUGUCUGCAAUCAAGUUGCAUGUGAUAGUUGUGUGUGUUUGUGUUUAGUGGUAUCCUGAAAUCAAGGAGUCUGAAAAUUAUACACAUAUGUAUUAGAUGAAGAGCUCUCUACAGGGAGAAAUCUAGUUUCCUUGACAGACUUGUGGUUGCCAAGGGGGA